AAUCAGUACUAAUUGUUUGCAUUGCACUGAUGAGCUCGAGGAUGAGCUGCAAAUAGAGCGAAACUAAUA
rnacentral:hammerhead_ribozyme from 14 species